AAAGAGAAAGAGAAAGAGAAAGAGAAAGAGAAAGAGAAAGAGAG
rnacentral:ribozyme from 1 species